AUGCAGGAGCAAUCAAUGCGUCUGCUAAUCAAUACAUCACAUUUAAAUGCUGCUUCGAGAAGAGCAACCAGCCACAAAACCCAUGCUGUCAGCGACCCCGGUUUCCGGGAAACAGUGGUUACUGUAAAUAUUAACGGUCGAAGGGGAAACGCAGUCCACGCAGCUCACUUCCAAACGGGACUCGGUGGGCCCCACCUCCCCUGUGCGUGGGGUGCAGCGGCCUGCAGCACCAGCCCCGUGAGCUCCGUGCUGGCCGAUUCCAGCGUGCACUGGGCACCUCACACCUUCCCCACCGGGAGACCGGCGCGCAUUACACCUGUCCAGCUGGAUCUGGUGUGCCCACGGACCCCUGUCCAGCUGGAUCUGGUGUGUCCACGGACCCCCGUCCAGCUGGAUCUGGUGUGCCCACGGACCCCCGUCCCGCUGGAUCUGGUGUGCCCACGGACCCCUGUCCAGCUGGAUCUGGUGUGUCCAGGGACCCCUGCCCCGUUGGAUCUGGUGUGUCCACGGACCCCCGUCCAGCUGGAUCUGGUGUGCCCACGGACCCCCGUCCCGCUGGAUCUGGUGUGCCCACGGACCCCCGUCCAGCUGGAUCUGGUGUGCCCACGGACCCCCGUCCAGCUGGAUCUGGUGUGCCCACGGACCCCCGUCCAGCUGGAUCUGGUGUGUCCACGGACCCCCGUCCAGCUGGAUCUGGUGUGCCCACGGACACCCGCCCAGCUGGAUCUGGUGUGUCCACGGACCCCUGUCCCGUUGGAUCUGGUGUGUCCAGGGACACCAGUCCAGCUGGAUCUGGUGUGCCCACGGACCCCCGUCCCGCUGGAUCUGGUGUGUCCACGGACCCCUGUCCAGCUGGAUCUGGUGUGCCCACGGACACCUGCCCCGUUGGGUCUGGUGUGUCCACGGACCCCCGUCCCGGUGGAUCUGGUGUGUCCACGGACACCAGUCCAGCUGGAUCUGGUGUGUCCACGGACACCCGCCCAGCUGGAUCUGCUGGGUUAUGUGAUGAGGGGCUGGGGGAGCAGGCAGCUCUGGCCCGGACAUAGGCGGGGUGUGCUAGGGCGCCCGGGAUCCAGGACAGGACAAAGCGCGAGGCAGAAAGGCCCCGGGGAGGCCGUGGGCCCACAGCAGCGAUGGACAAGACCUCAGGAGUCCCCACUCGGGUCACUCGGCGACUGCGUUUCCUUUUCUUGUUUCCUGGCGCCUCGUCCGUGCCCUGGGCUACCACGUUAG
ensembl:lncRNA